rnacentral:rRNA from 1 species
GUCUAUUACGGUGAUAUUUAUAGUCUAGCCUGCUCAGUGACAUAAAAGUGUUAAAUAGCCGCGGUAUCCUGACCGUGCAAAGGUAGCAUAAUCAUUAGUUUUUUAAUUGGAAACUAGAAUGAAUGGUUGGACAAGAAAAAAACUGUCUCUUUUAUUAAAAUUGAAAUUAACUUUUAAGUGAAAAGGCUUAAAAUUUACUAAGGGGACGAUAAGACCCUAUAAAGCUUUAUAAAUUCAGAGAUUUUAGAUAUUUUAUAUAUAAAUUUAUUUUUUGAUAAUUUAUUUGGUUGGGGCGACAAGGGUAUAAUUAUAAAUAACUGCCAUUAAUGUUUAUACAUGUAUUUUUGAUUUAAAUUUAAUAUAGUAGUUGAUCCUUUUUAAGGAUUUAAAGAUCAAGUUACUUUAGGGAUAACAGCGUAAUUUCUUCUGAGAGUUCUUAUCAAAGAAGAAGUUUGCGACCUCGAUGUUGAAUUAAAAUGUCUUUAUAGUGCAGCAGCUAUAAAAGAAGGUCUGUUCGACCUUUAAUUUUUU